GCAGGGUGCGGUGGUGCACGCCUGUCAUCCCAGUGGCUCUGGAGGCUGAGGCAGGAGGAUCGCGAGUUCAAAGCCAGCCUCAGCCAAAGCGAGGCCCUAGGCAACUCAGGGAGACCCUGUCUCUA
rnacentral:sRNA from 1 species